UAUAUACCUUAGUGGACCAUCUUUCUCCAAAGAUGUGGUACCAGGAAGGAAGAAUUGCUGAUCUACGGUACAUUUGAAUGCGUGGUGUUUUUAUUGGAACUCUUAUGGAUUCAGCUUCCUAGCACCAUAAGGGGGCUUGAUUGAUUUUUAUGCUAAUCCUAAAUGAAAGACAGCUGUUGUACCCACUGGCUUCAAUAAAGCUAAUCCAACUCAUAAAAGUCUUGUAAAUAGCCAGAUAAUUACGUUGCUGUUCAGAAGGAUUUCCUUUUGCAAGGUGCUGGUAGCCCUGCAGUGCUCGCAGCCCGGGGCACUGCUGUGCCGGGCGGCCGUGCCGUGAUGUGGCCGGGGUGAAGACCAGAUGUUGACUGAGCCUGGGACACUGGGUACAUUGCUGCACCAGCAGAAUAAUGCCCUGAGAUUUCUUCAAAGCCAGCUUUCUUGGAGUCAAGAGGAAUGGUCUAUGACCAGGUAAAAUCCU
rnacentral:lncRNA from 1 species